CCUACGUGUGGCAGCAGUGAGGAAUAUUGGUCAAUGGGCGCGAGCCUGAACCAGCCAAGUAGCGUGAAGGAUGACUGCCCUACGGGUUGUAAACUUCUUUUAUAAAGGAAUAAAGUGAGGCACGUGUGCCUUUUUGUACGUACUUUAUGAAUAAGGAUCGGCUAACUCCGUGCCAGCAGCCGCGGUAAUACGGAGGAUCCGAGCGUUAUCCGGAUUUAUUGGGUUUAAAGGGAGCGUAGAUGGGUUGUUAAGUCAGUUGUGAAAGUUUGCGGCUCAACCGUAAAAUUGCAAUUGAUACUGGCAGUCUUGAGUACAGUUGAGGUAGGCGGAAUUCGUGGUGUAGCGGUGAAAUGCUUAGAUAUCACGAAGAACUCCGAUUGCGAAGGCAGCUUACUAAACUGCCACUGACCUUGAUGCUCGAAAGUGUGGGUAUCAAACAGGAUUAGAUACCCCAGUAGUC
rnacentral:rRNA from 1 species